rnacentral:lncRNA from 1 species
AAAAAAUAAAAAAGCAGGUGAAGACUCCCACGUGUCCAGCCUGCCGACAUGAAACCUGCUAGCUCACUGUCUGGAUGGUUUGCGUUCUCCUGUUUUGCACAAGCUUUCCCAUCAGCUGAUAUGAAAUAUACAUGAAGUCAUCAGAAUUCAAGAGACCAGAUGAAGGAUACGGGAAGUGUGUUUCCUGCUGUAGGUGCUCUGCACACCAGCUGUGUGUCUGUCCUGCACACCCUACCUGGCCUGCCCGCUACUUGCCAGCUCCACAUUCAAGUGGCCAUCUCUCCCAAGCUGCAAAGAUGUCAGUUUGAUUACUUUAAAAACAAUUAAGAUGAGUUGCAAUUUUUAUCAGUCUUGGAG